rnacentral:rRNA from 1 species
AUGACUCUCGGCAACGGAUAUCUAGGCUCUUGCAUCGAUGAAGAACGUAGCGAAAUGCGAUACUUGGUGUGAAUUGCAGAAUCCCGUGAACCAUCGAGUCUUUGAACGCAAGUUGCGCCCGAUGCCAUUAGGUUGAGGGCACGUCUGCCUGGGCGUC